AAAUUGAAGAGUUUGAUCAUGGCUCAGAUUGAACGCUGGCGGCAGGCCUAACACAUGCAAGUCGAACGGUAACAGGAAACAGCUUGCUGUUUCGCUGACGAGUGGCGGACGGGUGAGUAAUGUCUGGGAAACUGCCUGAUGGAGGGGGAUAACUACUGGAAACGGUAGCUAAUACCGCAUAACGUCGCAAGACCAAAGAGGGGGACCCUCGGGCCUCUUGCCAUCGGAUGUGCCCAGAUGGGAUUAGCUUGUUGGUGGGGUAACGGCUCACCAAGGCGACGAUCCCUAGCUGGUCUGAGAGGAUGACCAGCCACACUGGAACUGAGACACGGUCCAGACUCCUACGGGAGGCAGCAGUGGGGAAUAUUGCACAAUGGGCGCAAGCCUGAUGCAGCCAUGC
rnacentral:rRNA from 1 species